rnacentral:lncRNA from 1 species
AUGCUUGCCCACAAGAGUCCCUCCAACCCUCGGCACAUCGAGAAUGGUCUGAGCAGCAAAUCUCCCAGGACUCCCUCUGGGCUUAAAAGCGUAGCAAGUAUUCGGGACAAGAUUUCCCAAUGGGAAGGUAAAACUGAGACCAUCGGCUCAAACACCCAAACAGUGGCACUGAAGGACGCUGAAGCUGGGAAGAAAACAGGACAGCCUGAAGUACAAAGGAAAGACAGCAAGAGACUUUUCAACUGGGAGAGACAAAACUGCGGCAAAGAGAAUGGGAGCAAGUUUGGAGAAUCCCUACACACUUCUGAGGGACCCGUGAAGGAAAAGGAACUGAUUUUGGACAAAUCCCCAUUAGGGAAAAUGACAGAAACUGGUCAGGAUAAAAAGUCAGUGUUGACGCACAUUAAAAAACUUGAGCAAGCCAUGAAAGAGACUCCUUCCAAAUCUUCAUUCUCAAUGCCAGGCAAUUAUUUCUGCCCUGCUUCCAAAGAGGAGCAGGAAGAGUCAGAAAGGAGGGGUGUAGAGCCAAUCUUUGGGAUUCUGGAUGUGGUGAGAUCCAGUGGCAGGCGAAGUCGGGAUCCUGAGAAUGUCUACAGCGAACCUGGAGCUCCUUCCAUCAACCCCUUGCCAAAACCACAAAGGACCUUUCAACAUCACACCCAAACAAACAACCCUACGGCCAACCACAGUUUUAUCAAGGGUAAACGGAAUCUUCCCCCUUUACCCUCAAUCCCUCCUCCCCCCCUACCCUCCUGUCCACCACCUGGAGUCUGUAGAAGGGCAACCGGAAGAGUUCGAGACUCCAUUAACAGGAAGUCUUACGAGUUUGAAGAUCUUCUACAGUCUGCAGCAGAAGGAUGUCGAACAGAUUUGUACGAGCUUUCUAAGCUUGGCCUCACACGCACUUUAUCAGAGGAGAAUGUCUACGAGGAUAUCUUAGGUAACACGAUUUUGGAGCAACGUUAUGUAAAAAUGCUCAUUUUAUUUUCAAGGUUACAGAAUUCAGAGCGACGCAGUUUUAACUUACUGGAGCUGCGCAGGACAGGCGGAAUCGCGUCCCCAUCACGGGUCAGCCCUCCAUCAACACCCAGCAGCCCAGACGACACCCCGUGCCUGUCUGGAGACCCGUACAACCGGCGGCGCAGGAAAAUUCCAAAGAUGGUGCAGAAAAUCAACGGCAUCUUUGAGGCGCGAAGGGGUAAAAAGCGGAUGAAAAGGGUCUCGCAGUCCACAGAGUCCAGUUCAGGAAGAGUGACGGAUGAAAACAGCGAGUCUGAAAGCGACACAGAGGAGAAACUGAAGGCUCACAGUCAGAGGUUAGUGUCGGUCCAGUCUAUGCUGAAGCAGACGGGUCGAUAUCGCACUUUGGAGAGGGAUUUAAUGGACCUUCAAGAGAGGAAGCUGUUUGAAUAUUUCCUGGUUGUGGCUCUUCAUAAGACCAAAGCCGGCGUGCCGUAUUUACCUGAAGUUACACAGCAGUUUCCUCUUAAGCUGGAGCGAAGCUUUAAGUUCAUGCGAGAAGCUGAAGACCAGCUGAAAGUGAUCCCGCAGUUCUGUUUCCCUGAUGCUAAAGACUGGGCACCUGUGGACAAUUUCCCCAGUGAGACAUUCUCAUUCGUCUUAACCGGAGAAGAUGGCAGUCGGAGAUUUGGGUAUUGUCGACGUUUAUUGCCCAGUGGUAAAGGAAGGCGUUUACCUGAGGUUUACUGCAUUGUCAGCAGACUGGGCUGUUUUGAUCUGUUCUCCAAGAUCCUGGAUGAAGUGGAGAAGAGACGGGCCAUUUCUCCAGCGCUGGUCCAGCCGUUUAUGAGAGGAAUCAUGGAGGCUCCGUUUCCAGCGCCGGGACGAACCAUCAGCAUCAAGAACUUCCUCCCGGGUUCAGGAACAGAGGUGAUAGAUUUGUGCCGGCCCUCAGAUUCCCGUCUGGAACAUGUGGAUUUCGAGUGUUUGUUUUCCUCUCUGAGCUUGCGUCUGCUUCUGCGGGUCUUUGCUUCUCUUCUGCUUGAGCGACGGGUCAUCUUUACCGCAGAUAAGCUCAGCACUCUCUCCCAGUGUUGUCAUGCUGUGGUGGCUCUGCUGUACCCAUUCACCUGGCAGCACACCUACAUCCCAGUUCUGCCUCCAGCAAUGAUGGACAUCGUCUGCACACCGACACCUUUCAUCGUGGGGCUUCUGUCCAGCUCACUGACCCGCCUGAAAGAGCUCCCGCUGGAGGAGGUCCUGGUGGUCGACCUCGGCAGCAGCCGUUUCCUGCGACAGAUGGAUGAUGAAGACUCGAUUCUGCCUCAUAAACUGCAGGCGGCGCUCGAACACGUGCUGGAACGGAGGAAAGAGUUCGCCUCUGACCUGGCAGAUAAUCCUAGCGGUGAGGAUUCUGUGGUGUCGGAGGCGUUCGUGCGUUUCUUCGUGGAGAUCGUGGGUCAUUACUCCCUCUUCAUGGGUGGCAGUGAUCGAGAUGAAGAAUCCUCACGCGAGGCGUUCCGUAAAGCCGUCUCCUCUAAAAGCCUGCGCAGGUUCCUGGAGGUCUUCAUGGAGACGCAGAUGUUCGCCGGGUUCCUGCAGGAGAGAGAGCUGCGGAGGCAGGGCCUGAAAGGUCUGUUUGAGAUGAGGGCUCAGGACUAUCUAGAUUCUCUGCCCGGCGGCGAGAAUAGAGGCGUCAACAAGUUCCUCAAAGGUUUAGGACACAAGAUGAAGUUUCUGUCCAAAAAGUGA